rnacentral:lncRNA from 10 species
UGACUACCCCUCAGGCAAAGUUUCUUGGGACAGUACCUCUGUUGUGCUAGAGUAGAACCCUCCCUUCGGUCUGAGGGACUCAGGAAAGCCUCCCCAGAGGAGAUGGUGCCUAGACUGAGUUUCAAAGGAUGAAUUACAUUCACCCACAAGGAUAUCGAAUCCCUAACAGGAGGGCUGGCUGGUUCUAAGGGGGCUGAUCCACCGUGCUUGCCCAUAGAAUUCAACUUACAUCAGAAAAGUAGAUCUACUACCUUCAAAAUACUUCCCUCAACUGUUCACUGAUUCCUGGAAGAAUUCUACAGUUAGAGAUUAGUUGGUUUCAAAGGAUUUGUCUCUUGUUCAAAGCAAAAUAAAAUAUCUGUCUUCUGCUA